GACGGUCACUCCUACUUGCUGUCUUCUGUUCGCGAUGCCAGCGUCUCUGAAAACCUCGGGGCUGUAAUACACAACGGCGUCGUUUCCUGAAGCUUGCAUGAAGAAAUUGACUCCAAUGGCAGCAAUUAGGAUCCGUCGAAGCUGUCUCGAAGGUCUGAAAAUCAUCUCCUUCCAAACUCCUUCUCCUUGCCAUGCACUGCUUGAAGAAGCACCGCCGAGGGAAAACGACGCCGCUUCGACGAUCUCCUUCAAUCUCAGUUCGGCUUCCUCUUUCGUCUCUGAGGUUUUGAUUAGGACCUUCCUCGCCUCGUCUCUCCUUCCUCGCAUUACCAGCCACCGAGGCGAUUCUGGCAUCGCCAAAACCCCGAUCGCGACCACCACCGCUGGAACCGCCGCAAGUCCUAGCAUGAGUCGCCAAUUUAAAGUUUCUGGUAGGCCCGACAGAGCGUAAUUGGAGAUGUAGCCGAGUAAAAUUCCGAUAUUGAUGAAGACCUCAGGGAGGGAGGUGAGGAAUCCGCGGGUCAGAGUUGGGGAAAGCUCAGCGACGUAGACCGGGGCAAUCAUUAGGGAGUAGCCGACGCCUAUUCCGGCGAUUAAUCUUCCGACGAGGAGAAUUGAAUAUGAUGGGGCGAGACCCAUUAGGAUGGCGCCGAUUAGGAAUGUGGCGGCGGCGAGGAUUAUGGUGUAACGCCUCCCUAUCCAAUCUGAGGUCUUGCCUGAAGCUAGGGAGCCGAUUAAGGAACAUACAUUUAGAGAACCAACCAAAAUUUCAACUUGAGUCGAUGUGAUUUUCAUGUCUUCUUUGAUGAAAAGCACAGCUCCACUCAUUACCCCAAUAUCUGUAAUUAUAUACAAAAGCAAGAUCAAAAAUUGACAUUCUGGGAUGAAAUUCUAUAAAUUUCUGUUUUUUAAUCUAGAAAACUGACCAUAGCCUAGUAGAACAGAGUUGGUGGAAGCCAAAAUGGCACCAGCAAGAGCGUAUCUAUUGAUUGGUGCAAUUUUCCUGUGAGAAAAUGAAGAAGAAGACCCUUCAUCUUCAAUGUCUUCCAGGCUUGUUGUUUUGCUUAUUCCUUUUUCUCUAGUACCAUCUUUUUGGUGAAGGACUUUUGCAGAUGAUGGUGAUAAAAGAGAUUCUGAUUCAGGAGGAAAAGGAUGAUAAGGAUUGUCUUCCUUGUUAGGAUCCAGAGAAUAGGGGAAUGACAUAAUCGGUUUCGGCUGUAGGCAAAGGAAAAGUGGCAAAAGCUUUUAUUGACGUGUGUCAAGAACAAUCUGACCUCACAGGGAAAGAGGUAAGCUUGCAGUGUACCAAUGACAAAAGAGCAGGUGAAAUAAUGGGACAAAGUAUUCUACAUUUCUCCAGAAGAGAAGUAGAGAAUGCCAUUGGGUGUUUAUUUUUUUCCUUUUUUUAUUAACUCUUUUACAAUGGCACUUUUCUCCAAAGGUGGUGGAAUGAGCACGCUUCCACCACACGCUCCUAAAUGUAAGUCUCUUCAUGGUGGUAUGCAGGUGGCACUUGUUAAAAGGUUAUAUGGACACUAUCAUAAGUGGACCACUUACAUGCAGUUGUAGCUGAUAUUAAAACUAGUAAUCAAAAACAGGUACGACAUGUGCAACAUAAACAAAUUAUGAUGAUUGCUUGUCGAUCCAAUUUUUAUUCACAAGAACCUGCAUCGUAUUUAGGUAGUUUAUGUAACCAAAAGUGCCAAAUCAUUAAUGUCAAUGAGAUCCGGUAAUCCCUUUCCUAAA